rnacentral:rRNA from 1 species
CCUACGGGUGGCAGCAGUGGGGAAUAUUGGACAAUGGGGGGAACCCUGAUCCAGCCAUGCCGCGUGUGUGAAGAAGGCCCUCGGGUUGUAAAGCACUUUCAGUGAGGAAGAACGCCUGGUGGUUAAUACCCAUCAGGAAAGACAUCACUCACAGAAGAAGCACCGGCUAACUCCGUGCCAGCAGCCGCGGUAAUACGGAGGGUGCGAGCGUUAAUCGGAAUUACUGGGCGUAAAGCGCGCGUAGGUGGCUUGAUAAGCCGGUUGUGAAAGCCCCGGGCUCAACCUGGGAACGGCAUCCGGAACUGUCAAGCUAGAGUGCAGGAGAGGAAGGUAGAAUUCCCGGUGUAGCAGUGAAAUGCGUAGAGAUCGGGAGGAAUACCAGUGGCGAAGGCGGCCUUCUGGACUGACACUGACACUGAGGUGCGAAAGCGUGGGUAGCAAACAGGAUUAGAUACCCUUGUAGUC